rnacentral:rRNA from 1 species
UCGAGAAUUUUUCUCAAUGGGGGAAACCCUGAAGGAGCGACGCCGCGUGGGGGAUGAAUGGCUUCGGCCCGUAAACCCCUGUCAUUCGGGAUCAAACGUUAUCCAUGAAUAAUGGGUAACCUGAUUGUACCGGAAGAGGAAGGGACGGCUAACUCUGUGCCAGCAGCCGCGGUAAUACAGAGGUCCCGAGCGUUGUUCGGAAUUACUGGGCGUAAAGGGUGCGUAGGCGGUGGGGUAAGUUUGAGGUGAAAGCUCCGGGCUCAACCCGGAAACUGCCUUGAAAACUAUCCGGCUAGAGGGUUGGAGGGGAGACUGGAAUUCUCGGUGUAGCAGUGAAAUGCGUAGAUCUCGAGAGGAACACCAGUGGCGAAGGCGGGUCUCUGGACAACACCUGACGCUGAGGCACGAAAGCCAGGGGAGCAAACGGGAUUAGAUACCCCCGUAGUCC